rnacentral:rRNA from 1 species
UACGUAGGGAGCGAGCGUUGUCCGGAUUCAUUGGGCGUAAAGAGCUCGUAGGCGGCUUGGUAAGUCGGAUGUGAAACCUCCAGGCUCAACCUGGAGUCGCCAUCCGAUACUGCCAUGGCUAGAGUCCGGUAGGGGCCCACGGAAUUCCUGGUGUAGCGGUGAAAUGCGCAGAUAUCAGGAGGAACACCGAUGGCGAAGGCAGCCCCCUGGGUCAAAACUGAUGCUCAUGCACGAAAGCGUGGGGAGCAAACAGG